UACGUAGGGUGCGAGCGUUAAUCGGAAUUACUGGGCGUAAAGUGUGCGCAGGCGGCCGCGCAAGUCGAGUGUGAAAUCCCCGAGCUUAACUUGGGAAUUGCGCUCGAAACUACGUGGCUGGAGUGUGGCAGAGGAAGGUGGAAUUCCACGUGUAGCGGUGAAAUGCGUAGAUAUGUGGGGGAACACCGAUGGCGAAGGCAGCCUUCUGGGCCAACACUGACGCUCAUGCACGAAAGCGUGGGGAGCAAACAGG
rnacentral:rRNA from 1 species